AGUGAACGCUGGCGGUAGGCCUAACACAUGCAAGUCGAACGGCAGCACAGUAAGAGCUUGCUCUUACGGGUGGCGAGUGGCGGACGGGUGAGGAAUACAUCGGAAUCUACUUUUUCGUGGGGGAUAACGUAGGGAAACUUACGCUAAUACCGCAUACGACCUACGGGUGAAAGCAGGGGAUCUUCGGACCUUGCGCGAUUGAAUGAGCCGAUGUCGGAUUAGCUAGUUGGCGGGGUAAAGGCCCACCAAGGCGACGAUCCGUAGCUGGUCUGAGGGGAUAAUCAGCAAAACUGGAACGGAGAAACGGUCCAGACUCCUACGGGAGGCAGCAGUGGGGAAUAUUGGAAAAGGGGCGCAAGCCUGAUCCAGCAAUACCGCGUGGGUGAAGAAGGCCUUCGGGUUGUAAAGCCCUUUUGUUGGGAAAGAAAAGCAGCAGGUUAAUACCCCGCUGUUCUGACGGAACCCAAAGAAUAAGCACCGGCUAACUUCGU
rnacentral:rRNA from 1 species